rnacentral:rRNA from 1 species
UACGUAGGGGGCAAGCGUUGUCCGGAUUUAUUGGGCGUAAAGAGCGUGUAGGCGGCCAGACAGGUCCGUUGUGAAAACUCGAGGCUCAACCUCGAGACGCCGAUGGAAACCGUCUGGCUAGAGUCCGGAAGAGGAGAGUGGAAUUCCUGGUGUAGCGGUGGAAUGCGCAGAUAUCAGGAGGAACACCGAUGGCGAAGGCAGCUCGCUGGGACGGUACUGACGCUGAGGCGCGAAAGCGUGGGGAGCGAACAGG